rnacentral:lncRNA from 1 species
CAAGCAUACUCUUACAACCAACUCUUGCCCAACAAACCACUGGGAGGACACAGCCUUCUCAGGCUACGGACUCAAGGAGCGAGGUGGGAAGGGUCUGCAGAGGGAUUCUGGAGCACCCCCGGCCAGGGAAGAAAAAGGCACUUGGGUCUGUGAAGAAGUAUUUGGAACAAGGAAAUCCUGGAAUUGAAAGAGAAACUGAACAAUUGGGAAAGGCAAGAACCAGAUGGUUUACUACAACACUGGAUUUCCUAUAGAGAUAGCUAUCAACGAUGCACAAAGCUCCUAUGUUUCUUUGAUUAACAUACCGUAGGUGGAGGCCAAAGACGACGGAUAAUGGUAAGUUUCACUUUCUACAGUCAAAAGCCAUUUUAAUAGAAGAGUAACUGCCUUUCUUUUCAUGGAGUUCGGCAAAAAAAUGCUUUCUUUCUUGAAACUGACUGAACACUCACAUUGUUUAGAAGUCAG